rnacentral:rRNA from 1 species
CAGUCGCCGCGGUAAUACGUAGGUGGCAAGCGUUGUCCGGAAUUAUUGGGCGUAAAGGGCUCGCAGGCGGUCUCUUAAGUCUGAUGUGAAAGCCCCCGGCUCAACCGGGGAGGGUCAUUGGAAACUGGGAAACUUGAGUGCAGAGGAGGAGAGUGGAAUUCCACGUGUAGCGGUGAAAUGCGUAGAGAUGUGGAGGAACACCAGUGGCGAAGGCGACUCUCUGGUCUGUAACUGACGCUGAGGAGCGAAAGCGUGGGGAGCGAACAGGAUUAGAGACCCCCGUAGUCCCUGUCUCUUAUAC